GUGGAUUAGAUACCCUGGUAGUCCACGCCGUAAACGAUGAUAUCUAGCUGUCCGGGCACUUGGUGCUUGGGUGGCGCAGCUAACGCAUUAAGUUAUCCGCCUGGGGAGUACGGCCGCAAGGUUAAAACUCAAAGGAAUUGACGGGGGCCUGCACAAGCGGUGGAGCAUGUGGUUUAAUUCGAAGCAACGCGCAGAACCUUACCAGCGUUUGACAUGUCCGGACGAUUUCCAGAGAUGGAUCUCUUCCCUUCGGGGACUGGAACACAGGUGCUGCAUGGUCGUCGUCAGCU
rnacentral:rRNA from 1 species